rnacentral:rRNA from 1 species
CGAUGAAGAACGCAGCGAAAUGCGAUACGUAGUGUGAAUUGCAGAAUUCAGUGAAUCAUCGAAUCUUUGAACGCACAUUGCGCCCUUUGGUAUUCCAAAGGGCAUGCCUGUUCGAGCGUCAUUUGUACCCUCAAGCUUUGCUUGGUGUUGGGCGUC